UUCGCUCGCAUAAUAACUGUAGCCUUAAUUUCAAAAUUAUACUCAAAGCUGGAUUAACACACUCCAAAUCUUUUGAGGAUCUUUGCCAAGAGAGGUGGAGCUCAGGGACAAAAGAUAAGGAAACUUCUCCUGACACUUACACAGUGUGUCUGCAUUAAUGUUAGGAGGGAGUGUGUCCACAAAGCCCUGUUUGUCUACCUAAAUGAGGAUCCUGACAAUCUAAUCAAGGAGUACAUGGAUGCAGAUUUUUUCCAAUGCUCAAGCUGCACUCAAAGAAAAGGUGAUUAGCGUUUUUGUCAUCAGAUGUGAAGGAUGUGAAGUUAAUGAUAACCCUGCA